CGCGGGCGGGGGCGUCCAGGAGAGCGCUGGGCCCCGCCUGUCUGCGCUGGAGAGCAGGUCUCCUGGCUCCCCUACCCGAGAGCCUUCCUUCCCGGGUCUCUCUGACGCCCUCGGCUCCCCACAGGCCUUUCCCCUCGCGUCCUCCCUCCCUUUCCAGCACCUUCACUCGGCCGGUUUUUCUUCCUCUUCCUCGGCACUGAGCUGAGACGCGCUGAGCAGUUUGCUCUCCUUUUUCCACUUCAUGCGUCGGUUCUGGAACCAUAUCUUGAUCUGCCGCUCCGUCAGGCACAGGGCGUGCGCGAUCUCGAUGCGCCGCCGCCGCGUCAGGUAGCGAUUGUAGUGAAACUCCUUCUCCAGCUCCAGCGUCUGGUAACGCGUGUAUGUCUGGCGGCCUCGCCGGCCGCUGGGCCCAAAGGAGGAACCUGUUACGCAGAGUGGAGAUGGUGAGGCCUGCGGUCACUGGGCCCAGGGCCCCCUCCCCUAGUCGACCCUCGAACACAGACUCCAGCCAGUACCGGGAUACCCUCUAUUCUGCCGGUUCCCUUCCCCCGUUUCGCACUCCUCCAGCGCCCCCUCCAGAUUCCCUCCUAGUCUCCUAGGCCUGUGCCGUCUGUCUAGACUCUAGAUGGGGGAGGGGAGGAGCAGUUUGAACUCCCACCUGAGCCUGGGGGGAGGGGCUGGUCAGGUGUGUCUCUUCCUAGUCGCAUCUUGUCUUUCCCUCCCUUUCCAUCCAUCUUGUUCCCCACCAUCCCGCCAACCCAGUGAUAAAUCCAGGCCCUUAAUCCGUAAUGACGUAGAUCGAUCCACAGUCCACAUUAACGGCUCCUCACUUUCGAGUCCGGCUAAUGGACAUCGGUUGGGACUUAAGGCCAACAAAUAAUCCAGCCUGAGAUCCCGCGCCUGUUUCUCCCUCUCUCGCUCCGCCUGCUCCCUCUCUCUUCCUUCCCCUUAUUCCUCCUCCCUCCUCUGACUACCACCCCUUUCCUGGCGCCUCAUCUUGCCCCAGCCCCCCAUCCUCAGGGAAACACAGUCCCAGACAGACUCAACUCUUCCUCUUCAGCGUCACCCCCUACCCCCUUGCAUGACGCACUCCGUUUUUAAUGGAGCCGUCUUUGGUUGGGGAACCCUACCAGGGCUGGGAGAGGGGGGCUGGGGGCGCAAAGUAAAGCCAAGCCAGUGACUGCGGGCCCCUGCUCCUUUCCCUGUCCUGGAACCCCGGUUCUGGCCAGGCGCCCCAGGAGAGCACACUUGCUCCCCAUGGCUCCCAGUGCAGCUGGGACUUUGCAAACUUUGUAACUCCUGCCUAAUAGGGGACACAGCGAGAGACCCCGGGCAGGCGCCCAAUCUUCUUCUGUCUCCUAACUGAGAUGCCCACCCAGCACCCUGUGGGAGAUUGGGGCAGGGGGCGCUCACUAGUUCUGUGUCCCGGGGUGGGGACCCAGGGGAGCCGGGGCGACAGCGACGGGAAGUCUCACUCACUGUUGCACGAAUUCAUCCGCUGCAUCCACGGGUAGACCGGAGUGGAGCACUUCUGCUCUUCUGUCUCGCCGAACACGCUCUUGUCCUGCGCGCAGUCCGACUUCCGCGGCUCGGGGUGGAACGGGGGCUGCUCGUCUGCGCCGGAGAGUGCGCAGGCCGACUCCUUCUCGCGGUAGAAGGCCGGCGCCGGCCCGUAGUCGCAGGGCGCCGCUCGGCCGUAGCCACCGCCCGUCGGCGGGUAAUAGGAGGAAGUGGCAAAACCCUUGUCCUGGCCCGGCCCUGGCCCGUAGGGCGCGGGGUAAUGUCUCAGCGGGUCCGCAUAGCCCGACGAAUAGAGCGGUAGCUGGCCCAGGAAGGACUCCUGCCCGCUGGCCAGAGUGACGGGGAAGGUGGAGUUCACGAAAUAGGAACUCAUUGGGAGGGGAGGCGCGCGCGGCCGCUGCUGCUCCGCCGGGUUUAUGAUUUGUUGUGUUUUAUAGUGCGAGCGCCGCGCCUAUUAGUAGUAUAUCCGAGAUUGGGUUUUAGCUGAGGGGGGAUGGCGAGGUGCCAGUGAGGGCCAGAAGGAAAUACAACCAUCUGAUCCAACACUGACCAAUGGCAGAGGCAGGAAUUGUCAAAUAGCACCCAGGAGGAGCGCAGCCUGCACGAGGGACCCGCGCACAAACCUAUCAACCUUUUUUUUCCUCCUUCUCCUUCGCCUUUCUCUCUCUCUCUCCGCAACAACACAACGCGUCCUGUUCCACCUACGUAGGAUCUGUGAAACAGGCUCUGUGCCUCUGAGGGAGGAGGGAACGUUUAGAUUGAGACCACCCCACUCCCGGGUGAUUAAAUAAAUAUAUCUCUCCCCCACCCCACGCAGGAUUGGAAAAAGUUAAUUGUGUUUUCAGAAAAGUUAACCCCUGCGUUGCUUAGGCCCCUUCUCUCCAGGGAGGGGUGGGUAAAUGUCUCCGAAUCGCCUUGAGAGAGAACUAAAGAAGAAGGUUUGUUUCUAGGGUUUUGUGUCGGUAGAAGGUGAGAAGAGUUCUCCGCUAAGAUAAGCAAAGAAGAAACACCCUCCUCCCCAGGUUUUGAACAUCGUUUUUCCUGUUUAUCAGAUCUGCUCUCUCUCCUCCAAGCCUCGGGUUAUUGUUCCUGCUUCUCCACAACCCUUCUGGUCUGAGGGGGCAGGCCAGAUCCCACUGCCUAGAAGACCCAGAUGAAGAGGAGCUGGCAGGAGGGACUGAGCCCAAGCUUCCCCUUCUGACUCUGUGGCUAGACUAGGAGCUUCUUGGAAGGCGGCGACGAGGGCGGCUGCCCAAAACAUUCUGCCUUGUUCUAGUUGCUUGUCUGGAGACAGAGCCACUACGGGCAGGGCCUGGGCGCCUGGAGUCGGGCAUGAAAGGAAAUAGCGCCUCAUCGCUCUUAUCUAAGCCCAGAGGCCCAGGGGACAACCUAAGGGCCCUGAAGUGUUUCAAUACCAUGUACCAGCUUGACUUCUCUACCUGUCCUUUGGAUUGCCCAAAAGCAAAAUCUCGGAGGGGCCAAGGACCUUCCAGGGCUGACUCCUUCAGGGCCUCCUAUAGAGCAGCUUCCUGAGUCGGGCCUUAUAGCCACCAGAAAGUCACCUCGCUGCAGAAAAGCUGUUAAGAGCUGCUUCAGAGGCGCCGAAAGCGGGUCUACUUCGCUUGAAAAGAUCGAGAAUGGGGGAGGGGAUCGUCACUCACUUGCAGACAUCAACAGUUUCCAGAAAACUCGGUUCAAUUCCUUCACCACGGACCCACCAACCAAGGAGCUGGCAAGACCCACCAGCCAACCAGGAGAACACAGACCCGGUUUGUCUUUUGACAACCGAGUGGAACUGACGGGGCCGGCGCCUGCCCUGCGGGUCCCCUCCCUUGGCUGAGAAGAAAACCAAAUAAACCUUGAACAGCCUUGGCUUCG